rnacentral:rRNA from 1 species
GACGAACGCUGGCGGCGUGCUUAACACAUGCAAGUCGAGCGGUAAGGCUCCUUCGGGAGUACACGAGCGGCGAACGGGUGAGUAACACGUGAGUAACCUGCCCUUCUCAUCGGAAUAAGCGUUGGAAACGACGUCUAAUGCCGAAUAUGACUUCGGAAGGCAUCUUCUGAAGUGAAAAGCUCCGGCGGAGAAGGAUGGGAUCGCGGCCUAUCAGCUGGUUGGUGAAGUAAUGGCUCACCAAGGCGAUGACGGGUAGCCGGCCUGAGAGGGUGACCGGCCACACUGGGACUGAGACACGGCCCAGACUCCUACGGGAGGCAGCAGUGGGGAAUAUUGGACAAUGGGCGAAAGCCUGAUCCAGCAACGCCGCGUGAGGGAUGACGGCCUUCGGGUUGUAAACCUCUUUCAGUAGGGACGAAGCGAAAGUGACGGUACCUACAGAAGAAGGACCGGCCAACUACGUGCCAGCCGCCGCUGUAACAC